rnacentral:tRNA from 1 species
GGAGAGAUGUCAGAGUGGUCGAAUGUGCACGCUUGGAAAGCGUGUGUCCCGCAAGGGACCGGGGGUUCGAAUCCCCCUCUCUCCG